rnacentral:rRNA from 1 species
AUUGAACGCUGGCGGCAGGCUUAACACAUGCAAGUCGAACGAUGAUUUCCCAGCUUGCUGGGAAUGAUUAGUGGCGGACGGGUGAGUAACAUUUAGGAAUCUGCCUAGUAGUGGGGGAUAACUCGGGGAAACUCGAAUUAAUACCGCAUACGACCUACGGGUGAAAGGGGGCGCAAGCUCUUGCUAUUAGAUGAGCCUAAAUCAGAUUAGCUAGUUGGUGGGGUAAAGGCCCACCAAGGCGACGAUCUGUAACUGGUCUGAGAGGAUGAUCAGUCACACCGGAACUGAGACACGGUCCGGACUCCUACGGGAGGCAGCAGUGGGGAAUAUUGGACAAUGGGGGCAACCCUGAUCCAGCCAUGCCGCGUGUGUGAAGAAGGCCUUUUGGUUGUAAAGCACUUUAAGCAGGGAGGAGAGGCUAAUGGUUAAUACCCAUUAGAUUAGACGUUACCUGCAGAAUAAGCACCGGCUAACUCUGUGCCAGCAGCCGCGGUAAUACAGAGGGUGCGAGCGUUAAUCGGAAUUACUGGGCGUAAAGCGAGUGUAGGUGGCUCAUUAAGUCACAUGUGAAAUCCCCGGGCUUAACUUGGGAACUGCAUGUGAUACUGGUGGUGCUAGAAUAUGUGAGAGGGAAGUAGAAUUCCAGGUGUAGCGGUGAAAUGCGUAGAGAUCUGGAGGAAUACCGAUGGCGAAGGCAGCUUCCUGGCAUAAUAUUGACACUGAGAUUCGAAAGCGUGGGUAGCAAACAGGAUUAGAUACCCUGGUAGUCCACGCCGUAAACGAUGUCUACUAGCCGUUGGGGUCCUUGAGACUUUAGUGGCGCAGUUAACGCGAUAAGUAGACCGCCUGGGGAGUACGGCCGCAAGGUUAAAACUCAAAUGAAUUGACGGGGGCCCGCACAAGCGGUGGAGCAUGUGGUUUAAUUCGAUGCAACGCGAAGAACCUUACCUGGUCUUGACAUAGUGAGAAUCCCGCAGAGAUGCGGGAGUGCCUUCGGGAAUUCACAUACAGGUGCUGCAUGGCUGUCGUCAGCUCGUGUCGUGAGAUGUUGGGUUAAGUUCCGCAACGAGCGCAACCCUUUUCCUUAUUUGCCAGCGGGUUAAGCCGGGAACUUUAAGGAUACUGCCAGUGACAAACUGGAGGAAGGCGGGGACGACGUCAAGUCAUCAUGGCCCUUACGACCAGGGCUACACACGUGCUACAAUGGUAGGUACAGAGGGUUGCUACACAGCGAUGUGAUGCUAAUCUCAAAAAGCCUAUCGUAGUCCGGAUUGGAGUCUGCAACUCGACUCCAUGAAGUCGGAAUCGCUAGUAAUCGCAGAUCAGAAUGCUGCGGUGAAUACGUUCCCGGGCCU